rnacentral:rRNA from 1 species
GAUGAACGCUGGCGGCGUGCCUAAUACAUGCAAGUCGAGCGAACAGACGAGGAGCUUGCUCCUCUGACGUUAGCGGCGGACGGGUGAGUAACACGUGGAUAACCUACCUAUAAGACUGGGAUAACUUCGGGAAACCGGAGCUAAUACCGGAUAAUAUAUUGAACCGCAUGGUUCAAUAGUGAAAGACGGUUUUGCUGUCACUUAUAGAUGGAUCCGCGCCGCAUUAGCUAGUUGGUAAGGUAACGGCUUACCAAGGCAACGAUGCGUAGCCGACCUGAGAGGGGGAUCGGCCACACUGGAACUGAGACACGGUCCAGACUCCUACGGGAGGCAGCAGUAGGGAAUCUUCCGCAAUGGGCGAAAGCUUGACGGAGCAACGCCGCGUGAGUGAUGAAGGUCUUCGGAUCGUAAAACUCGGUUAUUAGGGAAGAACAAAUGUGUAAGUAACUAUGCACGUCUUGACGGUACCUAAUCAGAAAGCCACGGCUAACUACGUG